rnacentral:rRNA from 1 species
AGGGAUCAUUACCGAGUUUACAACUCCCAAACCCAAUGUGAACCAUACCAAACUGUUGCCUCGGCGGGGUCACGCCCCGGGUGCGUCGCAGCCCCGGAACCAGGUGCCCGCCGGAGGGACCAACCAAACUCUUUCUGUAGUCCCCUCGCGGACGUUAUUUCUUACAGCUCUGAGCAAAUAUUCAAAAUGAAUCAAAACUUUCAACAACGGAUCUCUUGGUUCUGGCAUCGAUGAAGAACGCAGCGAAAUGCGAUAAGUAAUGUGAAUUGCAGAAUUCAGUGAAUCAUCGAAUCUUUGAACGCACAUUGCGCCCGCCAGUAUUCUGGCGGGCAUGCCUGUCCGAGCGUCAUUUCAACCCUCGAACCCCUCCGGGGGGUCGGCGUUGGGGAUCGGGAACCCCUAAGACGGGAUCCCGGCCCCGAAAUACAGUGGCGGUCUCGCCGCAGCCUCUCAUCCGCAGUAGUUUGCACAACUCGCACCGGGAGCGCGGCGCGUCCACGUCCGUAAAACACCCAACUUCUGAAAUGUUGACCUCGGAUCAGGUAGGAAUACCCGCUGAACUUAAGCAUAUCAAUAA